rnacentral:rRNA from 1 species
UACGGGGGGGGCAAGCGUUGUUCGGAAUUACUGGGCGUAAAGGGCUCGUAGGCGGCCAACUAAGUCAGACGUGAAAUCCCUCGGCUUAACCGGGGAACUGCAUCUGAUACUGGAUGGCUUGAGUUCGGGAGAGGGAUGUGGAAUUCCAGGUGUAGCGGUGAAAUGCGUAGAUAUCUGGAGGAACACCGGUGGCGAAGGCGGCAUCCUGGACCAGUACCGACGUUCAGGCACGAAAGCGUGGGGAGCAAACAGG